UGUCCUUCGACGCCGGUUCACCGCGUGUCGGUGACAACUGGCGUUUUGCGGGACGUCCUGUCGGUGGUGUGUCAGGAAUCUUAGUUGUGCUAUGCUCUGCUUAGUGCAGCUCUGGUUUCGGGCCACUUUCAUAAUCCCGCCGCGGUGCUCUUAAUCGAGUGUCGAGGCGGGCCGGCACGUUUACUUUGAACAAAUUAGAGUGCUUCAAGCAGGCUUGUCACGCCUGUAUACUGUGUGCAUGGAAUAAUGGAAUAGGACCUCGGUUCUAUUUUGUUGGUUUCCGGAAUCUGAGGUAAUGAUCAAUGGGGACAGGCGGGGGCAUUCGUAUUGCGACGUUAGAGGUGAAAUUCUUGGAUCGUCGCAAGACGGACCGAAGCGAAAGCAUUUGCCAAGUAUGUUCCCGUCGAUCAAGAACGAAAGUUAGAGGUUCGAAGGCGAUCAGAUACCGCCCUAGUUCUAACCAUAAACAAUGCCUGCCAGCGAUCCGCCGGCGUCCCUCCGAUGACCCGGCGGGCAGCUUCCGGGAAACCAGAGCUUUUGGGUUCCGGGGGAAGUAUGGUUGCAAAGCUGAAACUUAAAGGAAUUGACGGAAGGGCACCACCAGGAGUGGAGCCUGCGGCUUAAUUUGACUCAACACGGGAAAACUCACCAGGCCCGGACACCGGAAGGAUUGACAGAU
rnacentral:rRNA from 1 species